GAAUAAAUGUAAGAAAGGAAAGUGGAGAUGAGAGCGGGAAAAGAAGGAACGGAAAACCUAAGACAGGAAGAAAACAGAGGCUGAAAGAAAGGAAGAAAGGGCCAGGAGUGAUGGCUCACGCCUGUCAUCCGGCCUAGCCAACAUGGCGAAACCCCAUCUCUACUAAAAACAGAGUGAGACUCCGUCUCAAAAAAAGAAAGAAAGAAAGAGAGAGAGAGAGAGAGAGAGAGAGAGGGAAAAGAAAAGAAACAGAGGUAACUUUCACAGCAUUAGCAAGGUGCUUGGAGUAGAUGUUUAAUAAAGAUGAAUGUAGAGAAGAAAAGGAAUCCAGCCAAAGGAGCUUACGGCUUGCGGUUCUUUUAUUUAUUUAUUUAUUUUCAAUAGCUUUAGGGGGUACAAGUGGUUUUGCAUUCCAUCAUCUAAACAGUGUACGUUGUACCCAGUAGGUAAUUUUUCAUUCCUCACCCCCACCCACCCCUCCCUUUCUGAGUUUCCAGUGUCCAUUAUAUUAUAUCACUCUGUUUGCCUUUGUGUAUCCAUAGUUUAGCUCCCAUUGACCAGUGAGAACAUGUGGUAUGUGGUUUUCCAUUCCUGAGUUACUUCACUAGGAUAAGGGCCUCCAGUUUUAUCCAAGUUUCUAUAGAUUCUAUAUACUAUGGAAUAUACAUACUGUGAAAUAUAUAUAUACACACUAUGGAAUUAUAUAUAUAUACCACAUUUUCUUUAUCCACUCAUCAGUUGAUGGGCACUGAGGUUGCUUCCAUAUUUUUGCAGUCUUAAAUGCAGCAUUUCUUUGUUAUUAUUGUUUUUGUUUGAUUGCUUGUUUGUUUGAAACAGGGUAUUGGUUUGUCUCCCAGGAUGGCGUGCAGUGAUGCAAUCAUAGCUCACUGCAGUCAUAGCUCACUGCAGCCUCAAUCUCUCAGACAUAACUGAUCCUCCUGCUUCAGCC
rnacentral:lncRNA from 1 species